AUGGAAUAGAGCCUGAUAACAAAUACUGCUGGAUUUUCAGUAAUUCACAUUACCAAAACUGAAAUGAAAACCUUGGUCUUUUGCUGUUCUGAAUCAAUAUUUUUUUCAACAAAUCAUACUGUGAGAUGGGAAAAGAGUCCAGAAGUCUUCUAGAGCCCGUGAGGUUUUUCCUACUCUUCACAUACAUGUGGGAAGCAGAAGAAAGGCCAAGACAACCUACCGAGAGAGAAAAAGAAUGCUUAGAUUAUUGGACAAGCAAGAGAUUUCAGUACACGAGAGGCUGAGAAAAUAUAAAUGUCAAUGUAAAUUGCAAAUUGUAUACAUGAAUUAGCAAAUUUUCCUUCUUGUCUUUAGCACAUUCUUUGAAUUUCUACUACUCUACUCAUCCUUAUCCUUUUGUUGUCAAGUAAAAUUUAUAUUAGUACCACAGUUAAGCACUUCUGAAGCAUUUUAAAUGAUGGUAUUUCAAGAUAUCUAGUCAUUUUUGUUUCUUAAACAUCUUCUCUAGAGGAUCUUCUCUCUUAAAACUGUGUUUCAGAGACAAAGGGAAACUCUAUGUUGCCCAAAGGUAAAAUAGUAAGCCUAUGACAAAGGGCUGCAAAUAACCAUAUAGUUGUGAAUUCUGAUAAGCCAAGAAAUUACAUUAUUCUUUUCCAUUAAACUUACUAAAAGUACA